CCGCUCCCGAGGGCUUGGCUGUGUGGCCCGCCCAGGACCGGCGCGGCCCGGGCUCUGGGCUGGUGCUCAGCUGUGUGACGCUGUCAGCCUGCGACGGUGGAGGUCACUAACCAGCUCGGCACAGCAGGUCGUGAAAAUGCAGUCACCCUGCAGACCUUACCACCACCAAAAGGCUCCUGGAGACUCACCUGUGAGCCUCAAAGGCGGCGCAUAUUCAGGCCAGCUCCCCCCUCCCCCCCACCGAGUUACCCCAGCACAGAUGCCCUGGUGCUCUCACGGCUCACUGAGACGGGAGUGAGGCAGAGGUGAGCUCCAAGUGGUCCUGGAGAUGGAGAGGAAGCUGGAAACAUCCAAAGGGGGGCUUGGCGGAACCUGGGCGCUGAUGGAGGCAGAGAGGGACCCAGAAGGACAUAGGAGAGAUGACCUUGGUCUCC
ensembl:lncRNA